rnacentral:rRNA from 1 species
GAUGAACGCUGGCGGCGUGCCUAAUACAUGCAAGUCGAGCGAACGGACGAGAAGCUUGCUUCUCUGAUGUUAGCGGCGGACGGGUGAGUAACACGUGGAUAACCUACCUAUAAGACUGGGAUAACUUCGGGAAACCGGAGCUAAUACCGGAUAAUAUUUUGAACCGCAUGGUUCAAAAGUGAAAGACGGUCUUGCUGUCACUUAUAGAUGGAUCCGCGCUGCAUUAGCUAGUUGGUAAGGUAACGGCUUACCAAGGCAACGAUGCAUAGCCGACCUGAGAGGGUGAUCGGCCACACUGGAACUGAGACACGGUCCAGACUCCUACGGGAGGCAGCAGUAGGGAAUCUUCCGCAAUGGGCGAAAGCCUGACGGAGCAACGCCGCGUGAGUGAUGAAGGUCUUCGGAUCGUAAAACUCUGUUAUUAGGGAAGAACAGAUGUGUAAGUAACCGUGCACAUCUUGACGGUACCUAAACAGAAAGCCACGGCUAACUACGUG